GACGAACGCUGGCGGCGUGCCUAAUACAUGCAAGUCGAGCGAAGUUUUUUUUGGUGCUUGCACUAGAAAAACUUAGCGGCGAACGGGUGAGUAACACGUAAAGAACCUGCCUUAUAGACUGGGACAACUAUUGGAAACGAUAGCUAAUACCGGAUAACAGCAUUAACUGCAUGGUUGAUGUUUAAAAGUUGGUUUUGCUAACACUAUGAGAUGGCUUUGCGGUGCAUUAGCUAGUUGGUGGGGUAAAGGCCUACCAAGGCGACGAUGCAUAGCCGACCUGAGAGGGUGAUCGGCCACACUGGGACUGAGACACGGCCCAGACUCCUACGGGAGGCAGCAGUAGGGAAUCUUCCGCAAUGGGCGAAAGCCUGACGGAGCAACGCCGCGUGAGUGAAGAAGGAUUUCGGUUCGUAAAGCUCUGUUGUUAGGGAAGAAUGAUUGUGUAGUAACUAUACACAGUAGAGACG
rnacentral:rRNA from 1 species